rnacentral:rRNA from 1 species
AUUGAACGCUGGCGGCAUGCCUUACACAUGCAAGUCGAACGGUAACGGGCCUUCGGGUGCCGACGAGUGGCGAACGGGUGAGUAAUGCAUCGGAACGUACCUUUCAAUGGGGGAUAACGUAGCGAAAGUUACGCUAAUACCGCAUAUUCUGUGAGCAGGAAAGCAGGGGAUCGCAAGACCUUGCGCUGAUUGAGCGGCCGAUGUCAGAUUAGCUAGUUGGUGAGGUAAAGGCUCACCAAGGCGACGAUCUGUAGCGGGUCUGAGAGGAUGAUCCGCCACACUGGGACUGAGACACGGCCCAGACUCCUACGGGAGGCAGCAGUGGGGAAUUUUGGACAAUGGGGGCAACCCUGAUCCAGCCACGCCGCGUGAGUGAAGAAGGCCUUCGGGUUGUAAAGCUCUUUCGGCCGGGAAGAAAUCGCACAGGCUAAUACCUUGUGUGGAUGACGGUACCGGAAUAAGAAGCACCGGCUAACUACGUGCCAGCCGCCGCCGUAAAAC